rnacentral:rRNA from 1 species
GACGAACGCUGGCGGCGUGCCUAAUACAUGCAAGUCGAACGCAGUGGCGGACGGGUGAGUAACACGUGGGUAACCUACCCAUCAGAGGGGGAUAACUAUUGGAAACGAUAGCUAAUACCGCAUACUAGUAGAUGGACCUGCGUUGUAUUAGCUAGUAGGUAGGGUAAUGGCCUACCUAGGCGACGAUACAUAGCGGACUUGGGAGGGGGAUCGGCCACAUUGGUACUGAGACACGGCCCAGACUCCUACGGGAGGCAGCAGUGGGGAAUCUUCCGCAAUGGACGAAAGUCUGACGGAGCAACGCCGCGGGAGUGAUGACGGCCUUCGGGUUGUAAAGCUCUGUUAAUCGGGACGCGGUACCGGAAUAGAAAGCCACGGCUAACUACGUGCCAGCAGCCGCGGUAAUAC